GACGAACGCUGGCGGCGUGCUUAACACAUGCAAGUCGAACGGUGAAGCGCCUUCCUUUUUGGUGGGUGUGGAUGAGUGGCGAACGGGUGAGUAACACGUGAGUAACCUGCCCCCUUCUUCUGGAUAACCGCAUGAAAGUGUGGCUAAUACGGGAUAUUCUGGGUCUGUCGCAUGAUGGGUCUGGGAAAGAUAUUGUUUCGGUGGGGGAUGGGCUCGCGGCCUAUCAGCUUGUUGGUGGGGUGAUGGCCUACCAAGGCGGUGACGGGUAGCCGGCCUGGGAGGGUAGACGGCCACACGGGGACUGAGACACGGCCCGGACUCCUACGGGAGGCAGCAGUGGGGAAUAUUGCACAAUGGGGGCAAGCCUGAUGCAGCGACGCCGCGUGAGGGAUGGAGGCCUUCGGGUUGUGAACCUCUUUCGCCAGUGAAGCAGGCCUGCCUCGUUUGUGGGUGGGUUGACGGUAGCUGGAUAAGAAGCGCCGGCUAACUACGUG
rnacentral:rRNA from 1 species